GGUGACUCCUUCGAGCCUUCCAGAAAGCAUGUGAGAAGGAAGCCCUACUCUACUACCAAGGUGACUUCAGGGAGCACAUUCAAGGAGGUUUUAAGAAGAUACGCCGUGUACACCAUCCAGCAUCGGAGGCAUCAUGACUCCUGGGUAAAGAAGAAGAUGUACCCACAAGAAGAUGACUUCCAUCAUACAGUUUUCAGCAACCUUGAAAGACUGGACAAGCUUCAGCCCACUCUUGAAGCCUCUGAGGAGUCUCUAGUUCACAAGGACAGAGGAGAUGGAGAGAGGCCGGUCAAUGCGAGGGUGGUGCAGGUGGCCCCUCUGAGGUGUGAAUCUAGUAAGCUGGAAUCACUUGCCAAGAAAACAAUCUGGAUGCCAAGAAAGGUGUGGCAUCCUUGCCUGGUUUCAAUGUGAAGAGCCACCCUGAUCCUGCGGUUGUGAUAGGAAUAAGUAUAGGGGAAGAGUUUUUU
rnacentral:antisense_RNA from 1 species